UACGUAGGUGGCAAGCGUUGUCCGGAUUUACUGGGCGUAAAGGGCGCGUAGGCGGCCACCGCAAGUCGACUGUGAAAUCUCCGGGCUUAACCCGGAAAGGUCAGCCGAUACUGCGGGGCUAGAGUGCAGAAGGGGCAACUGGAAUUCUCGGUGUAGCGGUGAAAUGCGUAGAUAUCGAGAGGAACACCUGCGGCGAAGGCGGGCUGCUGGGCUGACACUGACGCUGAGGCGCGAAAGCUAGGGGAGCGAACGGG
rnacentral:rRNA from 1 species